AUACGGAGGGUGCAAGCGUUACUCGGAAUCACUUGGCGUAAAGCGCGCGCAGGCGGCUAUUUAAGUUGGAUGUGAAAGCCUACGGCUCAACCGUAGAACUGCAUCCAAAACUAUUUAGCUAGAGUGUGGGAGAGGAAGAUGGAAUUAGUUGUGUAGGGGUAAAAUCCGUAGAGAUAACUAGGAAUACCAAAAGCGAAGGCAAUCUUCUGGAACACUACUGACGCUGAGGCGCGAAAGCGUGGGGAGCAAACGGGAUUAGAUACCCUAGUAGUCC
rnacentral:rRNA from 1 species